GACGAACGCUGGCGGCGUGCCUAAUACAUGCAAGUUGAGCGCUGAAGGUUGGUACUUGUACCGACUGGAUGAGCAGCGAACGGGUGAGUAACGCGUGGUGAAUCUGCCUUUGAGCGGGGGACAACAUUUGGAAACGAAUGCUAAUACCGCAUAAAAACUUUAAACACAAUUUUUAAGUUUUAAAUAUGCAAUUUCAUCACUCAAAGAUGAUCCCGCGUUGUAUUAGCUAGUUGGUGAGGUAAAGGCUCACCAAGGCGAUGAUACAUAGCCGACCUGAGAGGGUGAUCGGCCACAUUGGGACUGAGACACGGCCCAACCUCCUACGGGAGGCAGCAGUAGGGAAUCUUCGGCAAUGGACGAAAGUCUGAACGAGCAACGCCGCGGGAGUGAAGAAGGGUUUCGGAUCGUAAAACUCUGUUGGUAGAGAAGAACGUUGGUGAGAGUGGAAAGCUCAUAAAGUGACGGUAACUACCCAGAAAGGGACGGCUAACUACGUG
rnacentral:rRNA from 1 species